rnacentral:rRNA from 1 species
UACGUAGGGGGCAAGCGUUGUCCGGAUUUACUGGGCGUAAAGAGCGUGUAGGCGGCCAAACAGGUCCGUUGUGAAAACUCGAGGCUUAACCUCGAGAUGUCAUCGGAAACCAUUUGGCUAGAGUCCGGAAGAGGAGAGUGGAAUUCCUGGUGUAGCGGUGAAAUGCGCAGAUAUCAGGAAGAACACCAAUGGCGAAAGCAGCUCUCUGGGACGGUACUGACGCUGAGACGCGAAAGCGUGGGGAGCGAACAGG